UUAAAUUGAAGAGUUUGAUCAUGGCUCAGAUUGAACGCUGGCGGCAGGCCUAACACAUGCAAGUCGAACGGCAGCACAGAAGAGCUUGCUCUUUGGGUGGCGAGUGGCGGACGGGUGAGUAAUGUCUGGGAAACUGCCCGAUGGAGGGGGAUAACUACUGGAAACGGUAGCUAAUACCGCAUAACGUCGC
rnacentral:rRNA from 1 species